rnacentral:rRNA from 1 species
CAGUCGCCGCGGGAAUACGCAUGUCACAAGCGUUAUCCGGAUUUAUUGGGCGUAAAGCGCGUCUAGGUGGUUAUGUAAGUCUGAUGUGAAAAUGCAGAGCUCAACUCUGUAUUGCGUUGGAAACUGUGUAACUAGAGUACUGGAGAGGUAAGCGGAACUACAAGUGUAGAGGUGAAAUUCGUAGAUAUUUGUAGGAAUGCCGAUGGGGAAGCCAGCUUACUGGACAGAUACUGACGCUGAAGCGCGAAAGCGUGGGUAGCAAACAGGAUUAGAUACCCCGGUAGUCCCUGUCUCUUAUACA